UCCUACGGGAGGCAGCAGUGGGGAAUAUUGCACAAUGGGGGAAACCCUGAUGCAGCCAUGCCGCGUGUGUGAAGAAGGCCUUCGGGUUGUAAAGCACUUUCAGUUGUGAGGAAGGCAUAUACGUUAAUAGCGUAUGUGUUUGACGUUAGCAACAGAAGAAGCACCGGCUAACUCCGUGCCAGCAGCCGCGGUAAUACGGAGGGUGCGAGCGUUAAUCGGAAUUACUGGGCGUAAAGCGCAUGCAGGCGGCUUGUUAAGCCAGAUGUGAAAGCCCGGGGCUCAACCUCGGAAUAGCAUUUGGAACUGGCAGGCUAGAGUCUUGUAGAGGGGGGUAGAAUUUCAGGUGUAGCGGUGAAAUGCGUAGAGAUCUGAAGGAAUACCGGUGGCGAAGGCGGCCCCCUGGACAAAGACUGACGCUCAGAUGCGAAAGCGUGGGGAGCAAACAGGAUUAGAUACCCUGGUAGUCCACGCCGUAAACGAUGUCUACUUGGAGGUUGGUGUCUUGAACACUGGCUUUCGGAGCUAACGCGUUAAGUAGACCGCCUGGGGAGUACGGUCGCAAGAUUAAAACUCAAAUGAAUUGACGG
rnacentral:rRNA from 1 species